UAUAACAGCUUUCCUUUUAGAAACUGCAGUCUACUUUUAGGAUAUUACUUCAUGAUUCUAGAAAUGAAAGGAUGGAACUGUCUGCUGCCUGUGUCUACAGAGAAGUUAGAGAAAUCCACAGGAGUUGGACACAAUGAGGAGCUAUUUCCAUCACCAACAUGAGGAAUGCAAGUGUGUAAGAUAUUAAAGAACUUGUCCACAUGAGCUAAUAGAAGAAACAUAUAAUAGACAUGGGUCUUCUAGCUACAAGAUUUCAAGUCACACAAUUUUCUCCAUGAAGGUUCCCUACUGGAGGCUGAGGAAAGGAAGGUAAUAAGACGUUGGAGAUUAUCCAGAGAAAUGGAAGACUAAGAAACAAGAAUAGAGGACCUCACCAUAUUCUUAGAAAAUUGUUAUAAAGAAUACAAAAAAAAAAGUCAAAGGCUAGAAGGAGAUAUUGAGAACUUUUAAACUUAAUAUUUACAAAUUGUAUGCUUUCUAUCUUGACUAAAAAGACUUUUGAAUUUAUCAUUUUUUUUUGAGAUGGAGUCUUUCUCUGUUGCCCAGACUGGAGUGCAGUGGUGCAGUCUUGGCUCACUUCAACCUCCACCUCCUGGGUUAAAGCAAUUCUCCUGCCUCAGCUCCACAAGUAGGUGGGAUUAUAGGCAUGCACCACCACACCCAGCUAAUUUUUGUAUUUUUAGUAGAGACGGGGUUUCUCCAUGUUGUCCAGGCUGGUCUUGAACUCCUGACCUCAGAUUAUCCACCCACCUCUGUCUCCCAAAGUGCUGGGAGUACAAGUUGUGUGAGCCACCACCAUACCCAGUCAAGACUUUUGAAACUUUUAAACAUUAACUAAUUCAUUUUCUAAGGAAAGAUGCAAAUGAAAUUAAAAGUUUGAAAAUUCAGGCAAAUUAGAGUACAGUAUUAUCCUUAGCAGAAAAAAAUUAGAAGAUGGGAAGAAAGACAGUAGAGAUGAAGAUGAAUAAAGACCUAGAUUGUAUUGUAGAUAUGGUGAGAGCAAAUAUUAAGAUAGUAGGUUCAGCACGGCUUCAUUUAUUUUUCCUCUAAAAUAGGUGAUAAAGUUUUAGCCUGUGAAGGCAGAAGGCAGAAUGCAGAGAACUGCUAAGUAACUUGAAAAUAAAAAUGUAGGGCACACAGGAGACAUAUAAAAACGGAAAUUAGUGUGGAUAUUCUACACCUUAGAAUCCCAGCAUCUGUAGAUCAAGGGCUGGCAAACUACUACUGUAAAAGACCAGAUAGUAAAUAUUUUAGCUUUUGUGAGCCAUAUGGUCUCUGUUUUGCAAGUACUCAACUCUGCCAUUGUAGCUAAAAACAGCCAUACAUAAUAAAUAAACAAAUGGAUAUGGCUGUGUUUCAAUAAAACUCUAUUCACAUAAAUAGGCAGCAGGCCCAACAAAUUUCUGAUAGAGGAUAGGCCUUUCAGAAUAUAUUCACAACAAAAAUUGGAAACAUUUUUGUUUCAACAAUUGGCUACAUUUCAGGAGAUAAAUUGAAAUAUGCUCUAUAAAUUAACUUGGAUGUAACUUUAAAUCACUAAAAAUAUUUGCAAAUGUGGAAAUUAAGGGAGAAAUUAAAAGGGGGCAAAAGAAAACAUAAAUGAGUUGGGGCUGGAAGAGAAAAACUAAGUAAACAAAUGACAAUUUGUGUGAAGGAGAAAGAGCAAACGGAAUGUCAGUGAAGAAAGAAGAAUUUCCUGCUGUGGCUACUUCUUUCUAUUAUUUCUGCUGUUCUUCCUCACUCAUUGCUGUUCUUUGCUAACUGUACACACACUCUUUUUUCAUCCAUUAACCAGUGUAUAUGAAAUCUUUUUAUGAUAUUUUAGUUGGAUGAAAUACUAGUAUACUAAUAAAAGAAGAAAAAAUUUCUCUUUAUGCAUACAAUUGUCAAAAAAAAGAUAAAUGAAAUCCAAAACAGCAUUUGAAAAACACAGAAAUUCUAAAUAUAAAAAUUAUAAUAAAUAGAUGUAGGUA